GCUUUAAAGAAAGAAAAGGGGACAGGGUCUCUCAAUGACCUGGAACUCACUGAAUAGGCUAGGUUGCUGGCCAGCAAGCCCAAUCUGCCUCCUCCUCUAAAGAAAAGCAUCAUGCGUUGUUUUUGCUUUGUUUUGACUCUGUCUUUAACGUGAGUCUGGGGCCUAACCACAGGUCCUCAAGCUUGUGUAGCAAGUACUCCAACAACUGAACGCUCUCUUCAGCCCCCUUCUUAAAAUCAAAAAGAAAAAAGAGAGAAAUUACUAAAUAUCUUUUAUAAUGUAAAGAAAAAUUAAAGGUAGGAUAGUUAAAGAAAAAAAUUUAGGGGGGACAGAUUUCCUUCAGAAAGCUAAUCAUGAACAGGGAUAUACUCCCUAAAAUCAUUAAGAACAUUGAAAGCAGAAGGCAGGUGAACCUCUGAGCACGAGGCCAGCCUACUCUACAAGGUGAGCUCCAGGUCAGCCAGGGCUACACAAAAUAACCCUGUCUUGAAAAAACAAAAAGAAAGAGAAAGAACAAGAACAAAAACAUGUAAAGCAAUAAUAAACUGCCUGCAAUAACUGGGAGUGGAGGGGAACAUCACUGAAUUGCAGAGGUGGGGGUGGAGCGAAAGAUAACUGAACUGCUCACCGUUCAGAACAGGAAACAAAGACAUACUAAUAACCACAGAGCUUUAAAAUAUAAACUAUCUUUGGAGAUCUCUAGAGAAGAUAGGAAUAUUCCCAACAUUCCAAACUCCUUAAAUGGUCAGAAAGAGUUAGUAUCUUGUAUCACUUUUGUGAUUUAAAAUUCUAAAGUUAGCAGUGCUAGCGAUGGCUCCACAGUUGAGAGCUGACUGUUUCUGCAGAGGAUCUGAAUUUGGUUCCCACAGAGCAGUUUCCAAGCUCCAGGGGCUCCUGUGCACAAAGGAUCCACAUCCAAGGACUCCCAGGUACACACACACACAUGAACCUAAUUCUUCUAAAGACGGGAAUAUGGAGGAGCUGGAAAAUGGGUUAAAACACUUGAUCUUCUUGCCAAACCUUGAGGUCGGUUCUGAGCUCCCUCGGGGCAGCUUACAACCAUUCUUUAACUAGCUUCUAGGUGAUCUGGGAGAUCCAGUGUCCCACAGCAGCACAGACACACAUACACACAUGCAGGGAAAAUACUCAUAUACAUAAAAUAAAAAUAAGGUAUUCUAAUCAAAUAAGGAGAUUACCUAAAAGAACCUUCUGAAAUACUAUUAAUGGCUUCAGAAGACAAUUUAUCUUCCAGGGUGUAAUUACACAGUCUGAUGUUAUAAAUUUAAGUUAAAUUUCCAUGAGUCGAUACAAAUAUAAAAGCACAAAGCAACCUAGAAUGAACCUUUGUCUCAGUGAAGCCAUGCACAGUAGAUGCGUAAUGUAAGAGACGUGCUCUCCAGGUCUCCAUGGUCUGUGUCCAUUAUCAAGUGAACUCUUGUCAUCUUCCAAUCCCUUGCUGCUCCCCCCAUAAACACAAAACAAAAACCCAUGUAAUAGCAAAAUACAAGGAUUUUGCUUUAACUCCAGAACAUGUAACUGAGGCAGGAGAUUCAUGAGUUCAAGGAACGUGGGGGNNNNNNNNNNNNNNNNNNNNNNNNNNNNNNNNNNNNNNNGGGGAGUGUGUAUGUGAGUGUUAUGGUAGCCACAUGCUACAAAAAGUUAAAAAGCAGUCAAGAGACCGAGAAGGAAGGAUAGAGAAAGAUGAGUGUGGGAUAGCCUACUACUAUACUUCCAGUUUAAAUUUUCAACAAAUCCUUACUACUUUUUAAAAAGUUGCAAUUUUUAGGAAAAACCACUUCUGCAUUAAUCCACCCAGUUCUUUCCCAGUGCCCCACCCUGUAUUUCUCAAAUACCAGUGGUGUUUGAAUGGACCUUACAUCUGUCCAAUUCUAACUUCCAUUGGAUGCACAAAACAGAGUCAGUUUGUUACUGUGCAUGACUGAAGGGGAAACACACCUUAUACUGCACUUAGUCUUCUGCUAGGCUGCUUAGGAACUAGAGCUACUCAUGAAAACCAAAUUACAAGUGAGAUUCCACACCGGUCAGGAAUGCCUGCCCUUACUGUCAUCCACUGUGAAUUUCCCAACCUUCCAGGAGAAGACUUGCCAACACCACAGUAGCUCCACUUCAGCAGGGAGAAUGAAAACUUUGUACAGCAUACACCAAGUGGGGUCCAUCAGUAUGACUGUUUCCUCAGGAAGGAACAUCUAUAUAACCAGAGAUUAUGCGUCUUUCAUGAGGUAAGCCCGUAGAAAUCCCAUGAUCAAUGUGCCCCAGUG
ensembl:lincRNA Gm26823 predicted gene, 26823